AGAGUUUGAUCAUGGCUCAGAACGAACGUUGGCGGCGUGGAUUAGGCAUGCAAGUCGAACGAAUCUCAGCUUUGUAGCAAUACCGAGCUGGGGAAAGUGGCGAAAGGGGCAGUAAGGCGUGGGUAACCUACCCCGGGGAUCGGGAUAGCCGUCCUAACGGGCGGGUAAUACCGGGCGAUAUAGCGAGGUCGCAUGAUCUGGCUAUGAGAUGAAUUUCGCCUCGGGAGGGGCUCACGUGGUAUUAGCUAGUUGGUGGGGUGAUGGCCUACCAAGGCGAAGAUGCCUAGCGGGUGUGAGAGCACGACCCGCGCCACUGGCACUGAGACACUGGCCAGACUCCUACGGGAGGCUGCAGUCGAGGAUCUUCGGCAAUGGGCGCAAGCCUGACCGAGCGACGCCGCGUGCGCGAUGAAGGCCUUCGGGUUGUAAAGCGCUGUCGAGGGGGCGGAAAGCCGGGUAACCGGUCUGACUUAUCCCUGGAGGAAGCACGGGCUAAGUUCGUGCCAGCAGCCGCGGUAAGACGAACCGUGCGAACGUUGUUCGGAAUCACUGGGCUUAAAGGGCGCGUAGGCGGCCUGCCAAGUCAGGAGUGAAAUCUUUCGGCUCAACCGGAAAAGUGCUCUUGAUACUGGCGGGCUAGAGGGAGAUAGGGGCAUGUGGAACUUCCGGUGGAGCGGUGAAAUGCGUUGAUAUCGGAAGGAACGCCGGUGGCGAAAGCGACGUGCUGGACCUCUUCUGACGCUGAGGCGCGAAAGCCAGGGUAGCGAACGGGAUUAGAUACCCCGGUAGUCCUGGCCCUAAACGAUGGGUACUAGGUUGUGGACUUGACAUGGGUUCACAACCGAAGCAAAAGUGCUAAGUACCCCGCCUGGGGAGUAUGGUCGCAAGGCUGAAACUCAAAGAAAUUGACGGGGGCUCACACAAGC
rnacentral:rRNA from 1 species